UGUGUUUAGUCCCAACUAAGAAAUUCAAAAAUAUCUUAUGGCGAGCCUUUUUGGUUAAGGUUCUGGGUUGUCACAAAUGGUACUAUAGCAAGAAGUUUGAUUCUAGGUAAUACAUAAAGUCUAGCAAUAGGUAGAACUUAAGCUUAGAUUUAUGAUUCGUAAAGUUAGGCAUAAGAUGAGUAUAGAAGAGAGUUGGUUAGAUCAAAGUGUGCAGCAAAAGCGUAAUGGUUGAGUGCUUUCAAAAUCUGAUCCUUAAAUAAGUUAAUUUUGAGGACAAAAUUAUUUUAAAAGGGGAAGAAUGUAAUAACCCUAAUUUUAAAGGCUUGUGAGCCAGCUUGAAGUGGCCAAGCCCAGCCCGACAAUGCUUAGCCCUGCCCUUGGGCUUG
rnacentral:lncRNA from 1 species